rnacentral:miRNA from 1 species
GUGGGCUGGGGGAGGGGG